rnacentral:lncRNA from 1 species
AUGGUCACCCCUGGUGACAUUAUAAAACAGUGUCUGAACUCACCCAGCUGGGGAACAGGCAGAGAAACCCCAUGGCUUCACCAUCCUCAGUGCAAUGCUAUUCAUUAUCACCUGAAAAACUCUAGGAAUCUACAGGAUGGUCCAUGGAUGCCACACUCAGACCUCCUCAGUGGUGACCUUGGUAUAUUGAACCACAAGGCUGAUAGAAGACUGGAAAAGAAAACACUGAUGACAGGAGAUGUCGCUUCAGGGAGGCAACUGGAAGUCUUAAAUUGUGGGAGAUAUGGAUGCUCAGAGGUAACCCCAGGCAAACAUAAAAACUAGAAACUUAGGAAGCACCAAAAAUAAUCUUUCCCUGAUAUAGCCUCUCAGCCUGCCCUCUUCCAUAAAAAAAGGGCCCAAAAAAUGUCCUUGGGAACACACGCAACAUUUUUCAGAAGUGAGACCUCAGAAUUGAAUAAAAAUCCAUUCCCUUUUUUGGAGCA